CGUUGUCUUCACAGUCAUCUGUACAAAGGAGUGCAGGUCCCAAAAAAGCAACCCGCCCACGGAAGUGUUCCUGUAAGUGACAAGAUCUCCGGGGCAGCACCCUGCUCUCCAGGCUCCUCAUUCUGACGACGGUGGGCUGCCUCUUCUUGUGACGCUUCCAAUGUGGGAAGAAACAAAGAACACAGAGGUUUGGUCUGACUUGUGCGCUGUGCUUCCUUUGCUCUGGCUUCCUGUUGAAGAGGGAGGAUUUUGUUCCCACCGUGAGAGUCAUUUUAUCUAGAUCCCAUCUACAGAAUUGUGUUCAGCGACCUCUGGUUAAUCUUGAUUGGCUGUUAUUACUGGCUGAACAGGCUCAGGCAGGAAAUGGCAGCUUCGGGAGGAAAGAUUCUUUAAAUGAUAAGUUUCAGCAAAAAAUACGAGUAGAUGCAUUUUUAUUUAUAUAGUUGUGUGCUUUACACUGUAAAUGCAUAUAGCGUAUAUAUCCAUCCUAUUUCUUUAUGUCUCUUCAGCUCAGAAAAACUCCCUUUUCCUUUUCUUGUUUGUGUUUGGGCUUGACUGGGAGUUGCAGACUUCAAAGUGGGAAAGGAACCGUUGGAGACUCAACGUGCAGAGGUCCUGCCCUGCUGCAGAUCUGCACGCUCACCAAGGUCUUGCCCAGGGCGACAUGCUUGCAGAGACCUGGUGCACAGUGGAACCUCCCUAUUUACAAGUGUACAUUUUCACAGACAAGGGGAGUUAGUAAGCAGUAGAGAACGCAGUGCUAAUUCACAUAUGCUAAUUGUUUUACAUUUAUAACUUGCGUCAAUAUUCUAAAAGGUGUUUGAAGAUGUGAUUCAAUCUUGUGGAUCCUACUUGUGGACUUUUGAACAUGCCUGCCUGGGGUUAGUUAUCCUUCAGUACCAACAUGACCCCAAUAAAGACGCAAGAGGCUGAUAAGCCCAAAGCUCAGCAGGCAGAGUCUCCAGCCCGGUAAAUCCCACCUGUUCACCUGCACUGUGGGUAUGAGAUCAUUCUAUACAUUUCAGAACUAGGUGGCACCUCUGGGACACUCAGCAGGAUGAUACAGUCAGGGCUGCAGUGACUUCUGUAGUAGUCAUGCAGUGGGUCUGGGUGCUCACUUCCAAGUUCACUGAUUUACAGAGGUCAUGAGAAAAAAGUUCACCUUGGGAUGGCUAUCCUCAUGUUGUGCUUAUUUCCUCCCAAUCUUUUAAUUGUGGUUUGACAGAGCUGGAGCACAGUGUGUGGUUUUACCAUUGCUCAUGGUGUAUUUCUUCUUCCCACUCAUGAGGACGGCUGGGGAUGUCUGCCCAGCAUGAUACCCACUGGGCAGGGUACGGAGAACCAUCGGUCUGCUCUCCUGGUGUUCGGCAUUAAUAAUGCUUAAUGCCAAGAAUUUCUCUAUUCCAGACAUGCUUGUGCCUUAGUUUUUGAACCCAUCUCUAUUUCCUUAAGAUAGAUUUUGAGAAGUAGAAUCAAUUUUAGUACAUAUUCAUUAAAAAGGUAUAAGAGAAAUAUAACAAAUUAUAGACCUAAUUCACUUCUUUUACUUAAGUAAGUUAACCCAGGGCAUUUCAUCAUUAUAAAAAAAAAAAUUAGAAAAAACCUUUUUGUUAACUUGAUAAGAACUACAUACUGUGCAGUCCUUUGAAACGGUUUCUGUUUACAGGUGUAAUUAUUUGUCAUUAUCCAUCUGAAAAUUUCCAUGAAUGGUUUACUGAUGCCUGUUAUUCUUUUAUUUUUUAAUUAAAGUGAUGGCGUGUAUUUCCCUUGACCUGUCUCAGUUAUUUGCAUGCUUGGCUACACAGAAGAGUCACCCGGGUGAUUUUAACAAGCCUGCUGAUAACAGACCCUCCCCACUGUGACUCGGCUUUGAUUGCUCUGGGUUGGGGUGCCCACACCGGCACUGUUCAGCUCCUCAGGUGACUCUGGUAAGUAGUCAGAGGUGAAGACCACAGAACCAGACUCUGCACAUACUAACCUGCUAUCUUGUUAGAGUUUCCUGUUUACUUUUUAUAAACUUUACAGAUACUUGCAUUUCUUUACAGUCUACACAUGGAUGCCGUGGAGUUUAAGGCAUGCACUCAGAAGCCAACUGCUUGGGCUAAUCCUCCUUGUCCUUCAAAAAUAUGUCAUCCUGAGCAGUUGUGCACUCGCCCACUGCCACGAUUUCCUCUGCAGUCCCGUGGGAUUCCAUCAGAGACUCGCCUGGUGUCUUCGUUAGAGGGGGGUUGUGUUGGUUGUUUUGUGUAAAUUAUUUAUAAUGUCUGGUAAGUAUGGACAAUUCCUUUUCUUUUACCAUUUUUUUCCCAUUGGUUUUAAUCUAAGUCUUUUUCUUCCCCUAAGAUCAGGUCAACGUGGAUGCAUAUUCUCUUAAAUUUUAGUGUUCUAUUUCUCAUUGCUGCGUACGUCUGUAUUUCACUCAGGCUUGGAAUGAAGUUGAUGUAGAAGGAAAAACAAAUCCAUCAGAAAUGUGAGGGGCCUUUCCCCUAACUCCUAGUUCCACCUAAACCACUUAUUUCUGAUUUCCGAAUACACGUAAAGUUUUUUUUCCUGAUAUUGUCUCCUGGCUUUCAACAUCAAUGGUUCUGGUAGGUGCCUCACUGCAUUUUGAAGCAAGUCCUCUGCUUCAUUUUGCUUCAUCAACUUGUGCUUGUCUGCACAUCUGCACACAUUUCUUUCUUUCUUUCUUUAGUACUGGGGAUAUAACUCAAGGGUGCUUAACCACUGAGCCGCAUCCCCAGCUCCUUUUUAUUUUGUGACAGGGUCUCACUGAGUUGCUUAGGACCUCCCUGAGUUGCUGGCCUCAAAUUGGUGACCCUCCUACAUCAGCCUCCUGAGUGUCUGAGAUCAUAGGCGUGAGCCACCACUCCUGGCUGAUAUGGGAUUUUUGAAAUGAGCUUCCAUACCAGUCUGAGAAAGCCCAUCUUGGUAGAAAUUGCUUCCUCCCUGAUUACCACCUCCUGUCAGACGUUCCCUCCUUUCUCCGAUUCUCACAUAUGUUGGAUGUCAACCUCAUUGUCUAAGUUCAUGAAUUCUAUUCAAGAUAAAUGAAAGGAAUUGGACAGUAGCAAACACAACAGAAAAAUUUCAUGAAAUCCAUCUUCAGGGAAGAGUAUGGACAUCUUCCUGGCCUCUGUCAAUUUCCAUCAUCUCUUCAGGAGCAGCCUGUCGUGCACAACUUGCUUUCAGGAAUGACAGCAUCAGCAAACACGGGACGGGGGUGGUUAAUGCUGGUGGCUGUCAGGACGCCAGAUAUUGGAGGGUUGGGUUGUCUGAGUCACCCUUAGUUUUGUGCUCCCUCAUUUUAAUCCCGAAAUGCUCUAAAGGCCAAUAAAUAAAUAGUUAUUCAGAUACACGGCAAUCCUAAAAUACCAGGAGGCUUGACCCAAUUUAGAAAGCUGUGGGUAUCUCCAUUCUUUACAUAGUGUUGAUUGUCUCCAGACGUCUCAAUGGAGGACGUAUUUUUUGCUGCAAAUCUCUGUAAUAUAUCCGCAGGGCACAGUUGUCAUUUUUAGGCAUGGGAUUGUUCAAGUCAUAAAUGCUCAUAUUUGCAAAGGCACAGGGAGAUGGGGCACUAGAAUGGAAGUCCACUGCCAAAUGAAGCUCCUGGAAUAGAGCACUGUCUGUUGGAUGAAAGAGAAGUCAUUUGCCGUGUUCGGCAACAGUAAAUGCAUGAAACGGGUCACUGAAUCCUGAGACAGUGCUUUAGUAAGUAUAAUAUCCAAUCUAUGUGAAAAGGCUGGACUGCACCGUUUUCUAGGUGGAGUCAGACGUCUCCCGGCCAUGACAGAGCUACCGUGGGUUGCGUUACUCCUUGCAGGACACUGGGGUAGCCUUUGGUGCAAUGAGG
rnacentral:lncRNA from 1 species